rnacentral:rRNA from 1 species
UGGGGAAUAUUGGACAAUGGGGGGAACCCUGAUCCAGCCAUGCCGCGUGUGUGAAGAAGGCCUUAUGGUUGUAAAGCACUUUAAGUGAGGAGGAGGGUACUGGUAUUAAUACUACCAGGUACUGGACGUUACUCGCAGAAUAAGCACCGGCUAACUCUGUGCCAGCAGCCGCGGUAAUACAGAGGGUGCGAGCGUUAAUCGGAUUUACUGGGCGUAAAGCGUGCGUAGGCGGCUAAUUGAGUCGGAUGUGAAAUCCCCGAGCUUAACUUGGGAAUUGCAUUCGAUACUGGUUAGCUAGAGUGUGGGGGAGGAUGGUAGAAUUCCAGGUGUAGCGGUGAAAUGCGUAGAGAUCUGGAGGAAUACCGAUGGCGAAGGCAGCCAUCUGGCCUAACACUGACGCUGAGGUACGAAAGCAUGGGGAGCAAACAGG